AAAUCUUACUAAAUUUUAAACUGCAAAUUUAAAAAUGAUCUAAAAAUCUAAGAUU
rnacentral:tRNA from 1 species